AAUCCUAGUGGCGAACGGGUGAGUAACGCGUUGGUGACCUGCCCCAAAGUGUGGGAUAACAGUCCGAAAGGAUUGCUAAUACCGCAUGUGGUCAUUGGAUUUAGAAACCGAUGACUAAAGGAGUAAUCCGCUUUGGGAGGGACCUGCGUCCCAUCAGCUAGUUGGUGAGGUAAUGGCUCACCAAGGCUACGACGGGUAGGGGACCUGAGAGGGUGGCCCCCCACAAUGGAACUGAAACACGGUCCAU
rnacentral:rRNA from 1 species